UGGCAAACCAGGUGCCAGCUCUUGCCUAGGCUACAGGCAUUAGGUAAGAAGUGACAAACUUAUAGCUGGAGACCAGUUAACCUGUAUGUUAGUUUAGCUCAAAAUAGGUAUUCGUUUUAUAAGGAUGUAUUUAGUGUUUAGACUCUAUGAAAUGCUUGUAAAUUGCUGCAUGCAUUAAUCUCACUUGUAAAUUCUAUAUUACCUGCUAUAAAAAAA